UACGUAGGGCGCGAGCGUUGUCCGGAAUUACUGGGCGUAAAGAGCUCGUAGGUGGUUUGUCGCGUUGUCCGUGAAAACUCACAGCUUAACUGUGGGCGUGCGGGCGAUACGGGCAGACUGGAGUAUUGCAGGGGAGACUGGAAUUCCUGGUGUAGCGGUGGAAUGCGCAGAUAUCAGGAGGAACACCGGUGGCGAAGGCGGGUCUCUGGGCAGUAACUGACGCUGAGGAGCGAAAGCGUGGGGAGCGAACAGG
rnacentral:rRNA from 1 species